ensembl:lncRNA
AGGCUGUACAGCAGCCACAGACUCAGGAGGCAAGAUAACAGACCCUAACAAUAUUUCAAAUAAUGGCACAUUGGAGCCUAAAUCAUAUGGAAUUUGGUGUGACUGCAAAAUAAAAGCCCUAGCAUGGAAAAUCAUUUAAGUGGGGUUUUUAUUUGCCGAAUAAUCUUGAUGCAUAAAGCAUUCAAUUUCAGCUCAUACAAAUCCUACAAUGUAGGAGAAAAUUGUCUCCAGUCGGUAAUUUCACACUGCUUUAUGAAUAAAAAUGAAUUGGAAACAACUGAAAGCAUGCGUCUUUCAGGAGCUAUUUUCUCUAAUGACAAAUCUGUCAAUUGUUUUAAGCAGACGUAAAAUGUUAAAACAAGGUUGUAAAGGUUCAAAGUCAAGCUGUGUUUCAUAUUAGUCUUACUCUUUCUGGCAUCUACAUGUAACGUGAGGGUUCACUAGAUGGUUUGGAAUCUCUUUACAUACAUAUAGGAGGUAUUCAUAUAUCAAAGAUGGACCCAAUGGAGUAAUAGGUCUGGAUUUGCAUGAAUCAAUAGUCUGUCUGCAUACUAAAUACAUGGCCAGAGCCAGUUUACUUACCUUUUUAAAAAAAAAAAAAAAAAAAACAUACAUAAAUAAAAUGAACAGGAGAACGGUUCACCUGGCUGUUUCUUAAAAGUUUUCCAGUUCAAUUAAACCGGUUGUUGCAUACCAGGAGUCUUUACUUCCAAAUUUCCACCAUGAAAAAAGUGUGUCAAAUGCUAGAACAGGCUCUUCAGGUAGUCUACAGCAAUCAGCAGCAAAUACAGUAUAUAAGGCAAUAACAAUUCCAAUAAGCUUGAACAUAAAUAUCUGGUCCUUAAACCUCAACGCAGUCUGAACUCCCUUAGACAAUAUUUUUUGUAAUUUAUUUAAGUAGUCUUUUUAUUUGUUCCCUGUCAUGAGAACGUGAUCCCACACUGCUUCAAUAAUGCUGAAGUCUGUGCUCUGAGGAGGCCAAUCCAUGACUGAGACUCUUCCGCUGUGUAUUUGUUUAUCCACAUAAGCUGUUAUUGCAUAGGAAAUAUGGGAUCUUUGUCAUGCUUAAAAAAACAAAACUGUUCCCACUAAUGUGCUUUUCUUAUGGUGGAUUACAACCUGGAAUUUAUUUUCUGUAGUCAUACUUCAAUUAAUAUUGAGAGAAUUUCCAGCACCAUUGGCUGAAAUGUAACCAAAUAGCUUCUUUGAAGAUUUUUUUGAAGAUUCAAGGAAAAAAAUUGUAUUUUUGUGAUAAAGUGCCUAAGGACACGAUUUAAAAUUGGUUCUUUGCCAAGUUGUCUGUUAUGUGUAAACAACACUGGUCCAUCCCUUGAGUUAGGUGCAUUUUUGUGCAUGAAUGAUUCAUAGGUUAGGGUUAAACAGCUUAAGAAAAACAAAAGAACAACAACAAAAUAACUCCUCUAAAAAUGGUCAGCUACAAAAAAAAAAACAAAAAACAAAAAAAAAAAAACAAAAACCACCCAAAAUCCCCCCUCCCCCCCCCCCACCCCCAAAAAAAAAACAACAACUUUUUAACCCUUUCACUUAUAGUGGUCACUACAGUGGAUAGCUAUUCAAAGGCUGUUUUCUUGUAUUUGUGUCAGUGUUGAUGGUAUACUUGGAGAUACCAAAUUCAUAGGUCAAAACAUAUGUUGUCCACCUAAAUGGAUGUAAAAGAAACUCUCUGAAAAGUACAUGUUAAAAAAUGAAGUUCAAAAAUAGUUUUGUCAUGCCUAAAGAUGAAUAAAAAAAAAACUUAAGAAAAAAAAUCCUGCUUGAGGUUGUCAUAAUUCAUGCAUGAAAGGGUUAAAGACCUUCAAAAAGCUCAAGACUAGUUUGAAGAAUGAAAAUAUACAAUAAACUAUCUCCUUGGAAGCAAAACAUAAAGAAAUGAGGGGUUGUUCAAGACUGUUGCACAGUGCAAUAUAUAUUGAUGAGGGCAAACAUCGCUCUUCUGGCUGCUGGUCCUGUGAAAGACUGACCAGUGACUUUAAUCCUACUGAAGGCUUUGAUCCACAUGAGCAGCAACUGGAUUAGUUGACCUUAAGUGGCAGCAAGUACAUUUCACCAACUUUAAGUUUAAACACAAGAAAAGCAAAUUUCUAAUGCCUCACCACUACUGAAAUACAGCUAAAACAAUGUCAGAAAUUAACCUAUGACUCUCUCUCCCACCGAUGUAGGAGCGGUGCUGAGCAGGAUCAAUGUCCACAAGGCUGCAGGCCCUGAUGGCAUCCCCGGGCGUGUUCUCAGAGCGUGUUCUGGGGAGCUUGCAGGAGUGCUCACAGACAUAUUCAAUCUGUCCUUGGCCCACGCUGUGGUACCGGCCUGCUUCAAAUCCACCUCCAUCGUCCCGAUACCCAAAAACUCCAACCCAUCUUGCCUCAAUGAUUACCGCCCAGUAGCACUCACCCCCAUCAUCACUAAGUGCUUAGAGCGACUGGUCCUAGCACACUUCAAAUCCUGUCUCCCCCCC